rnacentral:rRNA from 1 species
CGGAGGAUCCAAGCGUUAUCCGGAAUCAUUGGGUUUAAAGGGUCCGCAGGCGGUUUUAUAAGUCAGUGGUGAAAUCUGGUCGCUCAACGAUCAAACGGCCAUUGAUACUGUAAGACUUGAAUUACUUGGAAGUAACUAGAAUAUGUAGUGUAGCGGUGAAAUGCUUAGAGAUUACAUGGAAUACCAAUUGCGAAGGCAGGUUACUACAAGUAUAUUGACGCUGAUGGACGAAAGCGUGGGGAGCGAACAGGAUUAGAUACCCUGGUAGUCCACGCCGUAAACGAUGGAUACUAGCUGUUUGGAGCAAUCUGAGUGGCUAAGCGAAAGUGAUAAGUAUCCCACCUGGGGAUACGCUCGCAAGAGUG